rnacentral:rRNA from 1 species
UUGCCUGCACCUGCCGGCGACCGGCGCACGGGUGAGUAACACGUAUGGAACCUGCCCGCCACAGGGGGAUAACCCGGGGAAACCCGGCCUAAUACCCCAUGCCGCCCGGACCGGGCAUCCGGUCCGGGCGAAAGGAGGAAUCCGGUGGCGGCUGGGCAUGCGGCGCAUUAGCUUGACGGCGGGGUAACGGCCCACCGUGGCGACGAUGCGUAGGGGUUCUGAGAGGAAGGUCCCCCACACUGGUACUGAGACACGGACCAGACUCCUACGGAAGGCAGCAG